UUCUCGCGCUAGGGAUAGCAGCGGUAUCCUUUUAAGGCUAUAAGGCUUAAAAGAUAUAGCGGAUAGCCCGACACGAU
rnacentral:sRNA from 1 species